rfam:Agrilus planipennis Contig31451, whole genome shotgun sequence.
AAGUUUUUUAAAGGUUUUACUGAAUGAUCGACUGAAGAGGCCCUGAAUUGAUAGGUCCUAAAACGGCUUGAGAUAGAGGGGUUUUAGUCGGUAGGUCCGAGGACACCUUCCUAGGGAAUCCGACACUACUCAGUCGUACGGAUGACUGGGUGUCUUUUGAAGAUUUCCCCUCUUC